CAUCACUACGCUAGAUGCAUAUCAAUAAGCGGAGGAAAAGAAACUAACAAGGAUUCCCCUAGUAACGGCGAGUGAAGCGGGAAGAGCUCAAAUUUGAAAUCUUAAAAGGUUUUCCUUUUACGAAUUGUAGUUUAAAGAAGUGUUUUCUGUUGAAGUUUUGGUACAAGUUCUUUGGAAUAGGACAUCAUAGAGGGUGAGAAUCCCGUACUUGACCUUAAUUUUUCAACUUUGUGAUACACUUUCAAAGAGUCGGAUUGUUUGGGAAUGCAGUCCAAAAUGGGUGGUAAAUUUCAUCUAAGGCUAAAUAUUGGCGAGAGACCGAUAGCGAACAAGUACCGUGAGGGAAAGAUGAAAAGAACUUUGAAAAGAGAGUUAAAUAGUACGUGAAAUUGUCAAAAGGGAAGCGUUUGGCACCAGUGUUGUUUUUCUAAAAAUCAAUUUAAAAUUUGCUUAUGUUAAGUGUUUUAGACUUAAUCGGCUAUACAUUUAAUUCUUUGUAAAUUUUGAAUGCACUUUUUAGUUAACAAGUCAACAUCAAUUUUUUUUGCUGUAAAAAAGUAAGAGGAAGGUGGCUUGGGAUUCGUUUCAAGUAUUUAUAGCCUCUUGCCCAUGCAGUAGGAGAGAUUGAGGAUCUGCAGCAUAGAUCCUUCGGGGCUAGAUGCUUUUGUGCUAGAAGCUAGUAUUAUAUAGACAACUUGUUGAUUAUGUAAUAUAUUAGUUUCUACUCGCUAAAGUUAUUUUACCUACGCUUAGGAUGUUGACUGAUAUGUAGUCGUA
rnacentral:rRNA from 1 species